rnacentral:misc_RNA from 1 species
GGACAACGUAGUGGACCAAUCUGGUGGUGGCUGCGGGAGCAGGGAGUGGGAGGAGGAGAAUGUUAAUUUUGUUUAUGGCCAGCAUCAUCAUCAGCAGCAACAGCAGCAGCAAACCAUUAAUGGAGGUUUAAGUUCGGAUUUCUUAGCUUCUGCUUCUAAGUUUUGGGCUGAUAAAGCUAAUCUCUGGCAGGANNGCACUAUGAACCUGUUGAAUCACUAUAUCAUAUGAAGCAUUUUGUAGCAAGGGAGUCUCCG